AAGAUGGGGGGCGUGGAUAGACACAGAGAGAGACACGCAUGCAGGCGUCUCCCCCCCACCUAAAACACAUGCACGUGCGCGACAGCUCAGUGCGAUGAUUGUGUCAGACUUGGGCUACCUAUUGGCUGGUCGAGGGUGAUGUUAUGUAACCACUCCAUCACAGCAAGGAAAGAGAGAAAGAGAGUGGCCCAUGGGCUUGCAGAGUGCCACACCCCCUUUUUCAGGGGCGGUUUUGGAUACUUUUUGAGUCCAGCACAUGGCGACCACACCACGUGCUCUAAACUAGUUUUCCCAUUUCUUUUCUUAAUUUUUUGGGCAUGAUUAAAUCUUUCAGUCAAUUUUUGUGACAUACGUGUCGUAAAACAAGCUCCUGUUUCAUCAAAAUCAGUUUCUUGGGAAGAAAACCAACAAAAGAAAUUCAAAACAGAGCAUGCCAUUAUGCCAAGUCUUUUGAAUUCAUGAAAAUCAUGAUGCCAGUGAAUACUUUUCAUUGUGCAUGUCUGGUAAGGAGAAAGAAAGCUUGUAAAUGUGUUUACGCCCACCGCCCCCCUGCACCGCAUCAGAUGUGAGCACUCAUUGUCUCUCGCUCUGUGGUUAUAGCCGUACACAUGCAGACUUACAGCAGAAGGAGGCAUAAAUGCCCCAUUGUAUCAUUUAUUGUUCUGCGUUAAAGAAACAAACUUCCAUUGAAUUAUUUCUACACGUCACAUUGAGGGAAAGGUGUGAGUCUAGUUUUCCAUUUUUGAAAAGGAAUUUGGUGUUUGGUACUGAGAUGGUACAACCUGCCACUCAGUUUACUACUACAGAGUGUACGGAGUGCAGAUGGGUUACAGGCAUACAAGUUCUACAUGUCAACAACAUGUUCAUAUUGCACUGGUGAUCUUUCCAGUAAAAUCCCUGCAGCUCCAGAGAACCGCAGCAGAAAAAAAACAUCUGUCUGUAGAAACUGAACAAAUGCCAUCUUGCAAGUAUGACUUUUAAGAAAGCCUUUUCAGACAGAAGAUCUAAAGUGAUGUCAAACUACUUAAACUUAACUCUAGUUGCAUUCACAAAGCUAGAUUAAAAGAGCUCAAGAAUGAUUUGGAUAUAUUUCUUAGUGGAUAUGACUUUUUUAAUGCUCUUUUUAACAUGAUUGCUUGCAUUCUAAAAUGUCUUGUAGAAAAUGUUACGGUGAAAAUCCUCAGAAUAAGAGGAGUGCAUUGCUUUUGUUGUUUUCUUAGAUGCAAGUCUUCUCAUGUGACAAAACAUAAGGCCAGGUGGUCAUUACUGACGAGGGCAAUUUCACACCUGAUUCAAAUUAGUUCCCUGAAAAGCCAACUUGUAGUGCAGGACUCAAACACAGCUUUACACCUUCACCAGCCUUAACUGUACUCACUGAGCCUGGUGCUGAUGUUUCACAACCGCAUGCUUCCAGAGAUGCUAUUUCGGAUAAGACCGGAGAGGACUGCAUUCUGUCUUAAAGCAGCACUGCAGGGCUAUGUCAAUAAGGAAGCCAGCCAGUGCGGAAACGUCUCAAAACAGGAGUAGAAGACGAAGAGCUUUUAACUUGCAGGCAGGAAAAAUUACGGCUGACUCCUCCCUUCUUGAAACACUCUCCUGCAGCACGAUGCUUCAACUCAUCAAGACCAUGCAAACACUUUGAGUCACUGAAGGAUGUUUGGUAUACAUUUUGCACAUUUAACCCCUCAAAGUUUAAAGAUUGCUUUGCCAUGCUCUUACAAUGCGGACUGAGAGUAUCGUGCACAAAAGUACAGAUGCUAACUCCUGGAAAGCUUACUUUGCAAUAAACCGGUUUCCAAUGAAACAUGAUAUCGACCAA